GAUGAACGCUAGCUACAGGCUUAACACAUGCAAGUCGAGGGGAAACGCCAUCGAAAGCUUGCUUUUGAUGGGCGUCGACCGGCGCACGGGUGAGUAACGCGUAUCCAACCUGCCCAUCACUUGGGAAUAACCUUGCGAAAGUAAGACUAAUACCCAAUGACAUCCCACGAAGACAUCUGAAUGGGAUUAAAGAUUUAUCGGUGAUGGAUGGGGAUGCGUCUGAUUAGCUUGUUGGCGGGGUAACGGCCGACCAAGGCAACGAUCAGUAGGGGUUCUGAGAGGAAGGUCCCCCACAUUGGAACUGAGACACGGUCCAAACUCCUACGGGAGGCAGCAGUGAGGAAUAUUGGUCAAUGGGCGAGAGCCUGAACCAGCCAAGUAGCGUGCAGGAUGACGGCCCUAUGGGUUGUAAACUGCUUUUAUAAGGGAAUAAAGUGGGUCUCGUGAGACUUUUUGCAUGUACCUUAUGAAUAAGGACCGGCUAAUUCCGUG
rnacentral:rRNA from 1 species